rnacentral:pre_miRNA from 9 species
UCUCGACAUCGUAAAAGUUAAGUCAAAUUUGUAUGGAGUUGAAACGUUUGCCUAUGUUUGCUGCUAGGAGCACUAUUCCAGCUGCAUACAAAUUUAACUUUUACGCUAUCAA